ACUCAGGCACAGUCUGGGGAAGACUUUGGCCACAGCCCACACUACAAGGCUGUUUACCAAGCCUGCUGGAGCCUCUGAAGGGCAGCAGCCAGCUCACCCCCCAUGCCCUGGAUGGCAACAAGGCACAGGAGACCGCAGAGCAUACAAACAGGGCAAGAGGAAACCAUCUAUCAAUGACCAGGGACCAGAGGAAGCAAAGUUCUAACAUCUCGCUCACGUUCUCCCAAGGCCCAGAGAUGAUACCAGGCAAAGUAAAACCUGGGUUGUGGUGACAGCAGCACUCGUGUCUGACGUCUGAUGCAGACCCUUCCAUGAAGGCAGGUCACUGACUUGCUCUCACCCUCAGCCCCUCUGCAUAUAAUUCUCAGUUUCUCCAGAAAGCAUUUUACCUGUGCUUCAGAGGGACUAUUUAACAAAGACAUUUGCCAUUUUCCACUCCUUCUUUAGCCUCCCUAGGAGAUGCCCGGUGCACUGUCUUCCUUAGAAUCAGGCAUAAAAUCAUGGGACUCCAAUGGAAGACUCAGGGGACCCUGACCCACGGCCAGGCAGACAGCCCCUCAUGGGCCCAGAUAACCCUUCAUCCAUAUGAAUUGAACACUGUAAGAUAUCCACAGCUUCAGUUCUCAUAGCUGGGACCUCUGCUUUAUGCCAUAAAGUUUACUGAGAAACAAGCAUUUGUUCACUCUUCUGGGCAGUGGGCACAGUGCUGCAUCUUUAUGAGGCUUUUGUGAGGACUAAAGAGACCCUAUAUGCUCAGUUCAUUAUAAGGGCUUAGCAGGUGCUAUUAACCUUUCCUUCUCACUGAAUCAGGCUGACACCCAGAGGAAGCACAGCCUCCCCUCUGAAGCUUCCUCUACUGCAGUCUCUGUGCUCAUCGCAAGGAUCUCUCCAUAUUGACUUAUAUUUGUUUCUGGUCUUAUAUUUUUCUCUAUGGACAGACUUCUAUUUUCAGAAGAUAGAUAUUUAAGUCACAAUAUUCUGGACUCUGGCUUAGUUAGACCAACCGUCUCUUGAUCGUCUGUGGAAACUGAAUCAGGAACACCCCAGAGAGCUGGCUCUGGAUGUAAUUCACAGCUUCAUUUAAUUAUUAUCAUCAAAGUUAAUGAAGGCCAUAAACUGUUUCAUAACAUACCAAUGGGAAGUGUGAUUGGAGGGAAAGCUGGACACCUCACCAUAAAACUGGCACAGCAGAAACGGCUCGACUUAACAAAACCUUCUUAUGAAGAAAAAGACAAUGAAACCAUGUUCAGUUUAGUGAACCUUUCACACUUGGCAACAUGAAUGUUAAGUCAAAAGAACAAUGGAGCUAUGAGUUUUUUUAAUCAAAUUUUUAUUUUGGGUCAAAUAAGCCAUUUUGUUUGUUUGUUAUUAAGUGUAAAGAGAGCUUUCGGUUAGCUAUUUAGUUAUAACUUUAUCUCACCCACUUCUAAAAAAGCGUUGAGGCUACUUGAAGUAAAGUCCUGUAGACGAGAGAGCGUAACACUAAAAGAUAGAAAGAAAACUUAGAAGAUGGAAGAGAAAUAAUUGCACUAGAAACCUGGCCAAUAUCAUGAACAGGCUCCAUAUAGGGACUCCUGUAUAUAGAUCGCUGUGUGUGUGGAUAGUACGUUCAAUAAAUGUAUUAUCUGAACUG
ensembl:lncRNA LINC02251 long intergenic non-protein coding RNA 2251